UACAGAGGGGGCAAGCGUUGUUCGGAAUUACUGGGCGUAAAGGGCGCGUAGGUGGCCUUCUAAGUCGAACGUGAAAUCCCUGGGCUCAACCCAGGAACUGCGUCCGAGACUGGGAGGCUUGAAUCCGGGAGAGGGAUGCGGAAUUCCCAGUGUAGCGGUGAAAUGCGUAGAUAUUGGGAGGAACACCAGUGGCGAAGGCGGCUCACUGGACCGGUACUGACGCUGAGGCGCGAAAGCGUGGGGAGCAAACAGG
rnacentral:rRNA from 1 species